CGUGUAGGCGGGAAUGUAAGUCAGACGUGAAAUGCCGGAGCUCAACUCCGGAACGGCGUUUGAAACUACAUUUCUUGAGGAUAGGCGGAGAAAAUGGAAUUCCACAUGUAGCGGUGAAAUGCGUAGAUAUGUGGAAGAACACCUGUGGCGAAAGCGGUUUUCUAGCUUAUUCCUGACGCUAAGGCGCGAAAGCAAGGGGAGCGAACAGGAUUAGAUACCCUGGUAGUCC
rnacentral:rRNA from 1 species